rnacentral:rRNA from 1 species
UCGAACGGCAGCACAGUAAGAGCUUGCUCUUAUGGGUGGCGAGCGGCGGACGGGUGAGGAAUACAUCGGAAUCUACUCUUUCGUGGGGGAUAACGUAGGGAAACUUACGCUAAUACCGCAUACGACCUACGGGUGAAAGCGGAGGACCUUCGGGCUUCGCGCGAUUGAAUGAGCCGAUGUCGGAUUAGCUAGUUGGCGGGGUAAAGGCCCACCAAGGCGACGAUCCGUAGCUGGUCUGAGAGGAUGAUCAGCCACACUGGAACUGAGACACGGUCCAGACUCCUACGGGAGGCAGCAGUGGGGAAUAUUGGACAAUGGGCGCAAGCCUGAUCCAGCCAUGCCGCGUGGGUGAAGAAGGCCUUCGGGUUGUAAAGCCCUUUUGUUGGGAAAGAAAAGCAGUCGGUUAAUACCCGAUUGUUCUGACGGUACCCAAAGAAUAAGCACCGGCUAACUUCGUGCCAGCAGCCGCGGUAAUACGAAGGGUGCAAGCGUUACUCGGAAUUACUGGGCGUAAAGCGUGCGUAGGUGGUGGUUUAAGUCUGUUGUGAAAGCCCUGGGCUCAACCUGGGAAUUGCAGUGGAUACUGGGUCACUAGAGUGUGGUAGAGGGUAGCGGAAUUCCCGGUGUAGCAGUGAAAUGCGUAUAGAUCGGGAGGAACAUCCGUGGCGAAGGCGGCUACCUGGACCAACACUGACACUGAGGCACGAAAGCGUGGGGAGCAUACAAGAUUACAUUCCCUGGUAGUCCCCGACCUAAACGAAGCGAACUGGAUGUUGGGUGCAAUUUGGCACGCAGUAUCCAAGCUUACGCGUUUAGUU